AGAGUUUGAUCCUGGCUCAGGAUGAACGCUGGCGGCGUGCUUAACACAUGCAAGUCGAACGGGAAACCUUUUAUUGAAGCUUCGGCAGAUUUAGCUGGUUUCUAGUGGCGGACGGGUGAGUAACGCGUGGGUAACCUGCCUUAUACAGGGGGAUAACAGUCAGAAAUGACUGCUAAUACCGCAUAAGCGCACAGGACCGCAUGGUCUGGUGUGAAAAACUCCGGUGGUAUAAGAUGGACCCGCGUUGGAUUAGCUUGUUGGUGGGGUAACGGCUCACCAAGGCGACGAUCCAUAGCCGGCCUGAGAGGGUGAACGGUCACAUUGGGACUGAGACACGGCCCAGACUCCUACGGGAGGCAGCAGUGGGGAAUAUUGCACAAUGGGGGAAACCCUGAUGCAGCGACGCCGCGUGAAGGAAGAAGUAUCUCGGUAUGUAAACUUCUAUCAGCAGGGAAGAUAGUGACGGUACCUGACUAAGAAGCCCCGGCUAACUACGUGCCAGCAGCCGCGGUAAUACGUAGGGGGCAAGCGUUAUCCGGAUUUACUGGGUGUAAAGGGAGCGUAGACGGAUUGGCAAGUCUGAUGUGAAAGGCGGGGGCUCAACCCCUGGACUGCAUUGGAAACUGUUAGUCUUGAGUGCCGGAGAGGUAAGCGGAAUUCCUAGUGUAGCGGUGAAAUGCGUAGAUAUUAGGAGGAACACCAGUGGCGAAGGCGGCUUACUGGACGGUAACUGACGUUGAGGCUCGAAAGCGUGGGGAGCAAACAGGAUUAGAUACCCUGGUAGUCCACGCCGUAAACGAUGA
rnacentral:rRNA from 1 species